rnacentral:rRNA from 1 species
UUGACCUCGGAUCAGGUAGGAAUACCCGCUGAACUUAAGCAUAUCAUAGCCCGGGAGGAA